rnacentral:rRNA from 1 species
AGGACGAACGCUAGCGGCGUGCUUAACACAUGCAAGUCACGGGGGUCCCGCAAGGGAUAACCGGCGAACGGGUGCGUAACACGUGAACAACCUGCCCUCGUGUGGGGGAUAGCCGGGCUAACGCCCGGGUAAUACCGCAUACGGUCCUUUGGGGGAGUCCCUGAGGGAAGAAAGCUCCGGCGCACGGGGAGGGGUUCGCGGCCUAUCAGCUAGUUGGCGGGGUAAUGGCCCACCAAGGCGACGACGGGUAGCU